rnacentral:rRNA from 1 species
AGUGAACGCUGGCGGUAGGCCUAACACAUGCAAGUCGAACGGCAGCACAGUAAGAGCUUGCUCUUACGGGUGGCGAGUGGCGGACGGGUGAGGAAUACAUCGGAAUCUACUUUUUCGUGGGGGAUAACGUAGGGAAACUUACGCUAAUACCGCAUACGACCUACGGGUGAAAGCAGGGGAUCUUCGGACCUUGCGCGAUUGAAUGAGCCGAUGUCGGAUUAGCUAGUUGGCGGGGUAAAGGCCCACCAAGGCGACGAUCCGUAGCUGGUCUGAGAGGAUGAUCAGCCACACUGGAACUGAGACACGGUCCAGACUCCUACGGGAGGCAGCAGUGGGGAAUAUUGGACAAAGGGCGCAAGCCUGAUCCAGCCAUACCGCGUGGGUGAAGAAAGCCUUCGGGUUGUAAAGCCCUUUUGUUGGGAAAGAAAAGCAGCAGGUUAAUACCCCGCUGUUCUGACGGUACCCAAAGAAUAAGCACCGGCUAACUUCGUG